UACGUAGGGUCCAAGCGUUAUUCGGAUUCACUGGGCGUAAAGGGUGCGCAGGUGGCCAGGUGUGUUAGGCGUGAAAGCCCGGGGCUUAACCCCGGAAUUGCACCUAAAACUACUUGGCUAGAGCAUUGGAGAGGGGAGCAGAAUUCAUGGUGUAGCAGUGAAAUGCGUAGAUAUCAUGAGGAAUACCAGAGGCGAAGGCGGCUCCCUGGACAAUUGCUGACACUCAGGCACGAAAGCGUGGGGAGCAAACAGG
rnacentral:rRNA from 1 species